UGUCUUUUCCAGCGAGACCGGGUGAAAAUGGCUGACCAAGUAGAACAGAAGAAGAAAAGAACUUUCCGGAAAUUUACCUACAGAGGUGUUGACCUGGAUCAGCUCCUCGACAUGUCCUAGUAUGUGGAUGUCACCUGGUCAACAAAUGGGGGGGUAUAGGCUGUUGCCGCCUCCAGGAGGGAGGGAUGCCCCUUCUCAGCCUUCCCACUUUAAUCCCUAUGCAAUUGCACAGCUGCCUCCAGGAGGAUUUGACCCCCCUCAGGGAUUUGGACAGGGUUUUGGUGCACCUCCACAAUAUGCCUGAAAUUACUGGCCGUUAUCUUGGAGAGUUCUCCAUCACCUACAAGCCUGUGAAGCACGGAUGACCUGGUAUCUGAGCCGCUCACUCCUCUGAAGUAUGUGGAUGACACCUGGUCAACAAAUGGCGGGGGUAUGGGCUGUUGCCACCUCCAACAGGGAGGGAUGCCCCUUUUCAGCCUCCCCACUUUAAUUGCUAUAUAGUUCCACAGCCGCCUCCAGGAGGAUUUGCCCCACCUCAGGGAUUUGGACAGGGUUUUGGUGCACCUCCACAAUAUGCCUGAAAUUACUGGCCGUUAUCUUGGAGAGUUCUCCAUCACCUACAAGCCUGUGAAGCACGGAUGACCUGGUAUCUGAGCCGCUCACUCCUCUGAAGUAUGUGGAUGUCACCAGGUCAACAAAUGGGGGGGCUAUGGGCUGUUGCCACCUCCAGGAAGCAGGUAUGCCCCUUCUCAGCCUCCCCACUUUAAUUGCUAUAUAGUUCUACAGCCGCCUCCAGGAGGAUUUGCCCCAUCUCAGGGAUUUGGACAGGGUUUUGGUGCACCUCCACAAUAUGCCUGAAAUUACUGGCCGUUAUCUCGGAGAGUUCUCCAUCACCUACAAGCCUGUGAAGCACGGAUGACCUGGUAUCUGAGCCGCUCACUCCUCUGAAGUAUGUGGAUGUCACCAGGUCAACAAAUGUGGGGUUAUGGGCUGAUGCUGCCUCCAGGAGCCCCUCCACAGCCUCCCCACUUUAAUCCCUAUGUAGUUCCACAGCCACCUCCAGGAGGAUUUGCGCCAUCUCAGGGUUUUGGUGCACCUCCACAAUAUGGCAUGGGUAACUAUCCUCAGGAUCCUUCAGGCUACGGACCCAAGCGUCCUUCUCAGACUUACGGUCAGGCUGAGCAGGGAUAUAGUGCAGCAGGUUAUGGGCAAGAUAUGAGUGGUUUUGGCCAGGCCCCAGAUUUCUCGGAUCCAAAUCAGCCAGCUCCCUCAUAUGGAGGACCCUCAGCACCAGCGCCUCCAGGGGCUCCACCAUCUGCACCGGGUGGAUUUGCCCGCGGUCAGAACCACAAUGCUCAGGGGUUCCAUCCUUACAGGCAUUAAAACCAUGGCAGGGAAAAACAUAAAGGAGUAUAUUCUGGUGUAAACUUGACCAGGAAUUCCUUAAUUUUGUGACUCUUUUGUGACAAUCACUUGAUUAUAUUACACAAACAACAACAAAAAAAAAAAAAUUAAACGCAGUUUGAAGGAUACACUGUGGGCUUUGGACUGCAUUUUUGAAAAAAAUUAUUCUCCUCUUCCCAACCGCACAAAUGACCUCUUUGUGCUCUAAGUGUUGCAAGGUUUAGUAGAAAUAUUCUGCUGUACCAUAUAACUCUUGUUUUAUUUUUUUUUUAUUUGUUACUUUAAGCCUUUGUUUUACCCUAGUAUACUUUUAUGUUUAAAAUUGAAACAUUUGAAAACAGACGUUGCAAUUUUUAGGUCAACUUUUGUACUAUUUAGAUCUGCCUUUUUUAAUUUAAGAUGUGGAUUUCCCUUAAGAAUGGCUGUAGAAUAAACUGCAAAAUAAAGACAGAUGACCCCUGGUUAAAUAAAGAGAGCACAUUUUGUUUAAA